UACGUAGGGUGCGAGCGUUAAUCGGAAUUACUGGGCGUAAAGCGUGCGCAGGCGGUUCUGCAAGUCAGAUGUGAAAGCCCCGGGCUCAACCUGGGAAUUGCAUUUGAAACUACAGGGCUAGAGUGUGUCAGAGGGGGGUAGAAUUCCACGUGUAGCAGUGAAAUGCGUAGAUAUGCGGAGGAACACCGAUGGCGAAGGCAGUCCCCUGGGCCUGCACUGACGCUCAUGCACGAAAGCGUGGGGAGCAAACAGG
rnacentral:rRNA from 1 species